UCCCUCAUAGCUUAGUGGGUAAAGAAUCUACCUGCAAUGCAGGAGACUCAGGUUUGAUUCCUGGGUUGGGAA
rnacentral:tRNA from 1 species